UUGAUGGUUAGAAUUUUUAACGUGAAAAUUAGGGUUUAUAGCAUAGUUAGGAAAUACACUUAUGUGAGUAUUGUAGUGUGAAGUUACGGGUUCUCCGAAAUACCUAAACAAGGGUAAUGUGGGUUGUUAACGGGUAGGAUGCUUGGUUAGAAAGUUUUAAACAUGUGAUGCUAGAUGAAGGUGAGUGAUUCCCAUCUGUGUUAGGAAAGUGAAAGACUGAGAGAUCAAUACUAAGGACUGAC
rnacentral:lncRNA from 1 species